GUAGCACUCUUAAUACAAAUUGUGGAGGAUGCAAAGUGUUGCAGUGAAAUGCUCGGCGAAGUGGAAUCACAUGAUGAAAAGGAAAUGGUUGUGGAUGACCGAAUAGCUGAUCUAAGAGCUGUGCUCCAAUGCAUUGAAGACCACAAGCUUGAGUCCCAGUACCCACCAAUCGGCAUUGUCAUGGAAAUUCAAGGUCUUGAGAAAGUAAAGGUGAAUGGGAAGUUAAUGAUGUCUCUUUCAGCCAGUGUUGGAGAACAAGUGAAGAGAAAAGCGUGGAAACAAAGUUCCAGCAGUCCCUCGCCAACACUUGAAGCAUAUAAGCGGCAUAAAAGAACAUAAUCGGUGAGCCAUAUCCGUGCUAGUCAUUGCCAAAUUAUACCCCGGCUAUCUGGAUUGGCUUUCUGUCUUGCCUGUAUAAACACCCUGAGUUGUCUGGUGAUUAUCUCCGUCAAUGAACCAUGAAAGUGGUGCCAGUUUUAUUGCCAUAGAUGGAUGGCAGGCUAGUAGCAUCAAGGUGAGUCCCGGCUCUGCUCACAUUUGUGAGCAAUCUCUUGUGCAAAACAACCAUGUAAGAAAUCUCGAGUUUUGGAGGUAGGUUGAGGUGCUAUAUAUUCUUCCAGAUACCAUUUAUCA